rnacentral:rRNA from 1 species
AUUGAACGCUGGCGGCAUGCCUUACACAUGCAAGUCGAACGGCAGCGGGGGAGAAGCUUGCUUUUCCUGCCGGCGAGUGGCGAACGGGUGAGUAAUACAUCGGAACGUGCCCUGUAGUGGGGGAUAACUAGUCGAAAGAUUAGCUAAUACCGCAUACGACCUGAGGGUGAAAGGGGGGGACCGCAAGGCCUCAUGCUAUAGGAGCGGCCGAUGUCUGAGUAGCCAGUUGGUGGGGUAAAGGCGUACCAAGGCGACGAUCAGGAUCUGGUCUGAGAGGACGAUCAGCCACACUGGGACUGAGACACGGCCCAGACUCCUACGGGAGGCAGCAGUGGGGAAUUUUGGACAAUGGGCGAAAGCCUGAUCCAGCAAUGCCGCGUGUGUGAAGAAGGCCUUCGGGUUGUAAAGCACUUUUGUCCGGAAAGAAAUGGCUCUGGUUAAUACCUGGGGUCGAUGACGGUACCGGAAGAAUAAGGACCGGCUAACUACGUGCCAGCAGCCGCCGUAA